rnacentral:tRNA from 1 species
CGGGAUGUAGCCGAGGGGUUAAGGCAGUGGAUCUUGAUUCCACGAACGGGGGUUCGAAUCCUUCCAUCCCGU